rnacentral:lncRNA from 1 species
CAUUUUAAUUACACCCAUAUGGGUGCCAUCUCUCAAACGUAAAAUAUAUAUUUUUUUCUUAAAUAUUUAUAAUGGAAACAAAAGCAAUUUUAAUGAUGAUAAAUAGCGGUAACUGUUUUCGUUCUUUAAUGAAGCAAGAAACGUAAAAGGGGGAAAAAAAUUGAGGAAUAAUACUGAUAGCGAUCUGGCUUCUGGCAUAUGGCCGAACUACAGUGGCGCUACGGCGGAGAAGGGGAGAACUAAUCACUGUUGCAAUCACGGUACAACACGAGACAGGAAGCAAGACUUCUCAUCCAUGACGCAAAUGAACUAACACACCCCUUCUUUUGUAUCAGCCACCUGCACAGGGGAUUUUUAUGAUAUUAAACCAAAGAAUACUUUAACAGUACAGGAACAUUCAUGCCGAAGCAUUUAAAAAAAAAAAAAAAAUUAAGUUUUAUUAGUUUCCUGAAUGUUCGGAAUAGUUUUACAUAUUUCUGUUUGUUUGACAGAAAAAUAUUUUCGGAGUCUUUAUUUAUUUUUUUUAUGGAUUUUAGGGGUGAUGCAUGGUUUCAGACAUUUUUAAAGAAUAUAAUCACCAAAACAUCGCAUGGAUUUCCC